UAACGCGUGGGCAACCUGCCUUAUACAGGGGGAUAACAGCUGGAAACAGUUGCUAAUACCGCAUAAGCGCACAGUGUCGCAUGGCACAGUGUGAAAAACUAAGGUGGUAUAAGAUGGGCCCGCGUCUGAUUAGCUAGUUGGGAGGGUAACGGCCUGCCAAGGCAACGAUCAGUAGCCGGCCUGAGAGGGCGGACGGCCACAUUGGGACUGAGACACGGCCCAGACUCCUACGGGAGGCAGCAG
rnacentral:rRNA from 1 species